rnacentral:rRNA from 1 species
GAUGAACGCUGGCGGCGUGCUUAACACAUGCAAGUCGAACGGAAAGGCUCCUGCUUGCAGGGGUACUCGAGUGGCGAACGGGUGAGUAACACGUGGGUGAUCUGCCCUGCACUUCGGGAUAAGCCUGGGAAACUGGGUCUAAUACCGGAUAGGACGAUGGUUUGGAUGCCAUUGUGGAAAGUUUUUUCGGUGUGGGAUAAGCUCGCGGCCUAUCAGCUUGUUGGUGGGGUAAUGGCCUACCAAGGCGUCGACGGGUAGCCGGCCUGAGAGGGUGUACGGCCACAUUGGGACUGAGAUACGGCCCAGACUCCUACGGGAGGCAGCAGUGGGGAAUAUUGCACAAUGGGCGCAAGCCUGAUGCAGCGACGCCGCGUGGGGGAUGACGGCCUUCGGGUUGUAAACUCCUUUCGCUAGGGACGAAGCGCAAGUGACGGUACCUGGAGAAGAAGCACCGGCUAACUACGUG